rnacentral:sRNA from 1 species
GGUUGGUCCGAAGGUAGUGAGUUAUCUCAAUUGAUUGUUCUAUUAUUAUUUUGACUCAUUGAAUAUGUGACCAUCUUUGC